GGUUUUUUGUGUUAAUAAAAAAUCUAGCCUGCCCAAUGAGAGUUUAAUGGCCGCAGUAUUUUGACUGUGCUAAGGUAGCAUAAUCAUUAGUCUUAUAAUUUGAGACUGGAAUGAAAGGUUGGACGAGGGAACGGCUGUCUUUAUUGUAUUUUAUUGAAUUUGAUAAUGUUGUGAGAAGGCAACUAAUAAGCUGAGGGACGAGAAGACCCUAUUGAGUUUUAUAGGUUUGUUGUGUUAUGAUUAUGGAUUUAUAAUUUGAUGUGGGGAAUUUAUUUUGCUGGGGCGGUAACGAAAGAUAUCUAUCUUUUGGAAAAGUGUGGGAUGAGCAUUUUGAGCCAGAUAAUGGUUGUUUGAAAAAAAGAUUAAAUUACUGUAGGGAUAACAGCGUAAUAUUAUUGGAGAGUUCUUAUUAAUAAUAAAUUUUGCGACCUCGAUGUUGAAUUAAAAUUUCUGUUUGGUGAAGGAGCUAGAUUAGAUAGUCUGUUCGACUAUUAAAUUUUUACA
rnacentral:rRNA from 1 species